rnacentral:rRNA from 1 species
UACAGAGGUCUCAAGCGUUGUUCGGAUUCAUUGGGCGUAAAGGGUGUGUAGGUGGCGCGCUAAGUCGGGUGUGAAAUUUCGGAGCUUAACUCCGAAACUGCAUUCGAUACUGCGGUGCUUGAGGACUGGAGAGGAGACUGGAAUUCAUGGUGUAGCAGUGAAAUGCGUAGAGAUCAUGAGGAAGACCAGUGGCGAAGGCGGGUCUCUGGACAGUUCCUGACACUGAGACACGAAGGCCAGGGGAGCAAACGGGG